GUGUUUGCUUCAGCAACACAUAUACUAAAACUGGAAUGAUACAGAGGAGAUUAGCAUGGCCCCUGCACAAGGAUGAUAUGCAAAUUCGUGAAGCGUUCUAUAAUUUU
ensembl:snRNA U6 U6 spliceosomal RNA